ACAAGUUUCAUGUGGCACUUUUAUGAAACAGACUAGAAAACAGAGAAACUGUUUCACAGUAGCCAUAUAUGACACAUUAAAAGUAGUUCUUGGAAUAUUGCUUGAUGAUACCAACUAGCAUGGUACUAUAAACAUCAAUUAAAGUAGUUUUCAAACAUGGCACUAACUUUAUGAAACUAACACAUUUACUGUGUUAGAAUUUAAUUUUGAGAUUUGAUUCUCUUCACUGACUUUAUUCUCCCUCGUGACUGCUCUGAUUGUAGCGCUAUCGGUCUGGUCCAGAGAUGCAACACCAAGUUGACCAGAGACUCCUUCUUGUGUUCUUCCUGUCUCUCAUGCCCUCAUUCAAAUUAACCGGCAUGUGCUGGCAAAGCAGGUUACAUAUUCAUUUGAUAAACCUUAUUUUUCAGGGAUCAGGGAGCUAUACAAUAACUGUGGAAAUUGUAUAACAGCUGUUUGAAGCUGCACAUGGAG